rnacentral:rRNA from 1 species
CACGUAGGGGGCGAGCGUUGUCCGGAUUCAUUGGGCGUAAAGAGCUCGUAGGCGGCUCGGUAAGUCGGGUGUGAAAACCUCAGGCUCAACCUGGGGACGCCACUCGAUACUGCUGUGGCUGGAGUCCAGUAGAGGAGUGUGGAAUUCCCGGUGUAGCGGUGAAAUGCGCAGAUAUCGGGAGGAACACCAGCGGCGAAGGCGGCACUCUGGGCUGUGACUGACGCUGAGGAGCGAAAGCGUGGGUAGCAAACAGG